AGGACGACGCUGGCGGCGUGCCUAACACAUGCAAGUCGAGCGGGGACAUGCGACGGAAGCGAAGUUUCGGAUGGAGCGGAAGAUGCAUGUUCUAGCGGCGGACGGGUGAGUAACGCGUGAGCAACCCGUCCCUUACAGGGGGAUAACACAGCGAAAGUUGUACUAAUACCGCAUAAGACCACGGGAGGACAUCCUUCAGGGGUCAAAGGAGUAAUCCGGUAAGGGGUGGGCUCGCGUCCGAUUAGAUAGUUGGUGAGGUAACGGCCCACCAAGUCGACGAUCGGUAGCCGACCUGAGAGGGUGAUCGGCCACAUUGGGACUGAGACACGGCCCAAACUCCUACGGGAGGCAGCAGUGGGGAAUAUUGGGCAAUGGGGGGAAACCCCCUGACCCAGCAACGCCGCGUGAGGGAAGAAGGUUUUCGGAUCGUAAACCUCUGUCCUUGGUGAAGAGAGAGAGACGGUAGCCAAGGAGGAAGCCCCGGCUAACUACGUGCCAGCCGCGGC
rnacentral:rRNA from 1 species